rnacentral:misc_RNA from 1 species
AGGGCUUGACAUGCAGGGUGAAACCGGUGAAAGCCGGUGCUCCUUCGGGAGCCUGCACAGGUGCUGCAUGGCUGUCGUCAGCUCGUGCCGUGAGGUGUUGCCUUAAGUGGCGCAACGAGCGCAACCCCUGUCCAAUGUUGCCAGCGGGUAAUGCCGGGGACUCAUUGGAGACUGCCGGUGCCAAACCGGAGGAAGGUGGGGAUGACGUGUCCUUGAUAGG